UACGUAGGGGGCAAGCGUUGUCCGGAAUCAUUGGGCGUAAAGCGCGUGUAGGCGGCUCGGUAAGUCCGCUGUGAAAGUCCAGGGCUCAACCCUGGAAUGCCGGUGGAAACUGUCGGGCUAGAGUCCGGAAGAGGCGAGUGGAAUUCCUGGUGUAGCGGUGAAAUGCGCAGAUAUCAGGAGGAACACCAAUGGCGAAGGCAGCUCGCUGGGACGGUACUGACGCUGAGACGCGAAAGCGUGGGGAGCAAACAGG
rnacentral:rRNA from 1 species